rnacentral:rRNA from 1 species
GACGAACGCUGGCGGCGUGCUUAACACAUGCAAGUCGAACGAAGAGCGAUGGAAGCUUGCUUCUAUCAAUCUUAGUGGCGAACGGGUGAGUAACGCGUAAUCAACCUGCCCUUCAGAGGGGGACAACAGUUGGAAACGACUGCUAACACCGCAUACGAUCUAAUCUCGGCAUCGAGGAUAGAUGAAAGGUGGCCUCUACAUGUAAGCUAUCACUGAAGGAGGGGAUUGCGUCUGAUUAGCUAGUUGGAGGGGUAACGGCCCACCAAGGCGAUGAUCAGUAGCCGGUCUGAGAGGAUGAACGGCCACAUUGGGACUGAGACACGGCCCAGACUCCUACGGGAGGCAGCAGUGGGGAAUCUUCCGCAAUGGACGAAAGUCUGACGGAGCAACGCCGCGUGAGUGAUGACGGCCUUCGGGUUGUAAAGCUCUGUUAAUCGGGACGAAAGGCCUUCUUGCGAAUAGUGAGAAGGAUUGACGGUACCGGAAUAGAAAGCCACGGCUAACUACGUG